AACGAACGCUGGCGGCAUGCCUAACACAUGCAAGUCGAACGAGACCUUCGGGUCUAGUGGCGCACGGGUGCGUAACGCGUGGGAACCUGCCCUUAGGUUCGGAAUAACUCCCCGAAAGGGGUGCUAAUACCGGAUAAUGUCUUCGGACCAAAGAUUUAUCGCCUUUGGAUGGGCCCGCGUUGCAUUAGCUAGUUGGUAGGGUAAAAGCCUACCAAGGCGACGAUCCAUAGCUGGUCUGAGAGGAUGAUCAGCCACACUGGGACUGAGACACGGCCCAGACUCCUACGGGAAGCAGCAGUGGGGAAUAUUGGACAAUGGGCGAAAGCCUGAUCCAGCAAUGCCGCGUGAGUGAUGAAGGCCUUAGGGUUGUAAAGCUCUUUUACCCGGGAUGAUAAUGACAGUACCGGGAGAAUAAGCUCCGGCUAACUCCGUG
rnacentral:rRNA from 1 species